rnacentral:rRNA from 1 species
CCUACGGGAGGCAGCAGUAGGGAAUAUUGCUCAAUGGGGGAAACCCUGAAGCAGCAACGCCGCGUGGAGGAUGAAGGUUUUCGGAUUGUAAACUCCUUUUGUUAGAGAAGAUAAUGACGGUAUCUAACGAAUAAGCACCGUCUAACUCCGUGCCAGCAGCCGCGGUAAUACGGAGGGUGCAAGCGUUACUCGGAAUCACUGGGCGUAAAGAGGGCGUAGGCGGGAUAGCAAGUCAGAUGUGAAAUCCUAUGGCUUAACCAUAGAACUGCAUUUGAAACUGUUAUUCUAGAGUAUGGGAGAGGUAGGUGGAAUUCUUGGUGUAGGGGUAAAAUCCGUAGAGAUCAAGAGGAAUACUCAUUGCGAAGGCGACCUGCUAGAACAUAACUGACGCUGAUGCGCGAAAGCGUGGGGAGCAAACAGGAUUAGAUACCCUUGUAGUC